rnacentral:antisense_RNA from 1 species
GAGGUAACAGUGUACUGGACAUUCUGAGGGCUGCAGAGGCCUCCUGUGGACCCUGCUCUCUUGCAGCUGACCCAUCAGUGCGCUAUACUUCUACAAAUUGUUGGAAUGGAGACAGGUUUUUUUUUUUUUUCAGGAUAUUUGUUUGAGUCAAAAUGAUCUUGACGGGAAGCUCACUGUUAGAGGUUUCAUGGAAAUAGGCCUGGGGGACAGGAUUUGGCUGAGGCUUUCAACUGACAUCAGACAAGACUGCAAUCAAGGGAAAACAGACCUGGGGCCCACGGGCAAUCACAUGAGAUGAGAAAUACCAAAGAAUGUGAUCAUCCAGGUAGCCGGGGGACACAGCUCCAAAAAAGUGAGAGUGGUGCUGGAUUAGCUCCAUUGGAGGAACUGGAGGUUCCAUUGGAUGGUGCUGGAUUAGUUCCAUUGCCGUUUGGCAAACCAUCUCUGCUUUUGCGAUACCAGGGAUAGAACUCUGCAAACAUCUCUGCUUCGCAGCUGGCAUCCUGUUGGAUUUUUCCAGUAGAGGGAAGCUUCCAUGCUGCAGGAAGAAGGGGCGUGCUCCUUCCCGUUCCUGUCAGCACUGCUGCAGCAGUUUGCUCUCACAGCGCAUGUGAUCACAGUUGCCAUUUCUGACCUGCUCAGAACCAGCUUCAUGAUGGGCUCAAAGACCCAGGACCAGAUGCUCUUUUGACCUCUCUGACUUCAGUCCUUCUGGAGUCAGAUCACCCAGCUUCUCUGAUGAGUGACUGGUCAUUUUUAAAGCAUGCCUGCAGCAGUCUUCAAGAAGUUUCUGCCUGGGCAUCACAAUCAGCACACAUUUGCUCAUACACAUACCAGCUCUGGCAUGUACACGUGGCCACGGUACCCUUCAUACAACACGGGAUGAGAACAACAGGACGCCCAGGAGGCAUCUGGACAGCACACAGCAAACAGAAAGGCUGAACGCCCC